AAGAUGGGCCCGCGUCUGAUUAGGUAGUUGGCGGGGUAACGGCCCACCAAGCCGACGAUCAGUAGCCGACCUGAGAGGGUGACCGGCCACAUUGGGACUGAGACACGGCCCAGACUCCUACGGGAGGCAGCAGUGGGGAAUAUUGCACAAUGGGCGAAAGCCUGAUGCAGCAACGCCGCGUGAAGGAAGACGGUUUUCGGAUUGUAAACUUCUAUCAAUAGGGAAGAAAGAAAUGACGGUACCUAAAUAAGAAGCCCCGGCUAACUACGUGCCAGCAGCCGCGGUAAUACGUAGGGGGCAAGCGUUAUCCGGAAUUACUGGGUGUAAAGGGAGAGUAGGCGGCAAGGUAAGCGAUAUGUGAAAGCCUUAAGCUUAACUUAAGGAUGGCAUAACGAACUAUCUAGCUAGAGUACAGGAGAGGAAAGCGGAAUUCCUAGUGUAGCGGUGAAAUGCGUAGAUAUUAGGAAGAACACCAGUGGCGAAGGCGGCUUUCUGGACUGAAACUGACGCUGAGGCUCGAAAGCGUGGGGAGCGAACAGGAUUAGAUACCCUGGUAGUCCACGCUGUAAACGAUGAGUGCUAGGUGUCGGGGAGGAAUUCCCGGUGCCGGAGCAAACGCAAUAAGCACUCCACCUGGGG
rnacentral:rRNA from 1 species